rnacentral:tRNA from 1 species
GGAGAGGUGUCCGAGUGGUUUAAGGUGCGGAUCUCGAAAGUCUGUGAGAGGCAACACUCUCCGUGGGUUCGAAUUCCACUCUCUCCG